GACGAUAUAGUGUAAUGGCCAACACAACUCGGUCUCACCGAGAAGCUCGGGGUUCGAUUCCCUGUAUCGGAG